CGCCUGUUUAUCAAAAACAUCUUUUCUCGUUAGUUUUUGAAGUAUGGCCUGCCCACUGACUGUUGUUGAAGGGCCGCGGUAUUUUGACCGUGCAAAGGUAGCAUAAUCAUUGGUUCUUUAAUUGUGAUCUGGUAUGAAUGGCUUGACGAGACAUAAGCUGUCUUGGAAGUAUUAUUUAUUGAAUUUGGUUUUUGAGUUAAAAUUCUUAAAUGUUUUUAUGGGACGAGAAGACCCUAUAGAGUUUUACAAUUUUCCCAUUUAUUUGUUGUUUGUUUGUUUUUGUUGAGUGGGAAGGAUUGUUUUGUUGGGGUGAGGGGGGAAUAAUAUUUAACUCCUCUUUGAUUUUGUAUAUUUAUUUAUUUGUAUUUGAUCCAUUUAUUUUGAUUAUAAGAUUAAAUUACCUUAGGGAUAACAGCGUAA
rnacentral:rRNA from 1 species